rnacentral:rRNA from 1 species
CCUGACGCAGCGACGCCGCGUGGGGGAUGACGGCCUUCGGGUUGUAAACCUCUUUCGGCCCCGACGAAGCGUGAGUGACGGUAGGGGUAGAAGAAGCACCGGCCAACUACGUGCCAGCAGCCGCGGUAACACGUAGGGUGCGAGCGUUGUCCGGAAUUAUUGGGCGUAAAGAGCUCGUAGGCGGUGUGUCGCGUCGGCCGUGAAAACCUGUGGCUUAACUGUGGGCUUGCGGUCGAUACGGGCAUCACUGGAGUUCGGCAGGGGAGACUGGAAUUCCUGGUGUAGCGGUGAAAUGCGCAGAUAUCAGGAGGAACACCGGUGGCGAAGGCGGGUCUCUGGGCCGAUACUGACGCUGAGGAGCGAAAGCGUGGGGAGCGAACAGGAUUAGAUACCCUGGUAGUCCACGCCGUAAACGUUGGGCGCUAGGUGUGGGGGCCAUUCCACGGUCUCUGUGCCGUAGCUAACGCAUUAAGCGCCCCGCCUGGGGAGUACGGCCGCAAGGCUAAAACUCAAAGGAAUUGACGG